rnacentral:lncRNA from 1 species
UGAUAUUUACUCAAGCAAUCACAACCAUCCGUAAUCAUAAACUGCAAUUUGUUAUGAUUACAGAAUUAUGCCGUGACUUCUAACUCUGAUACCAUUUAUGAUAUCCAGUCGUUCUUAAAAAGAUGUGACCAAUUCACUUAAAAUAUACUGUGCGUAACUCUGAUACCACUUAUGAUAUCCAUUCACUGUUAGAAAGAUACGACCAAUUCACUUAAAAUGUAUUGACACUGUGCCUAUCAUGAGUUUCGAUUGCGAUUCGACUCAGUCCAACCCUUCGUUAUUUCAAACAUGAUAUCGAUCCAAACUAGCUUCCCGAUAUUUUGAACGUGAAUCGGUCUAACCUGACCUGCCGCUACAGUUUCUCCGAGACUCAUGUGGGCGUUCCCUUGAGAUGGAAUCAAUUAAUUUGCCAACAAAGCGAUGCGACUAACGAAAGUGUUAUGCAUGCGCGCCUCCGCUGGCCCCCGCACCUAAUACUCGGCAGGCCACAA